rnacentral:rRNA from 1 species
GGCUUCUUAAGUCGGAUGUGAAAUCCCUGAGCUUAACUUAGGAAUUGCAUUCGAUACUGGGAAGCUAGAGUAUGGGAGAGGAUGGUAGAAUUCCAGGUGUAGCGGUGAAAUGCGUAGAGAUCUGGAGGAAUACCGAUGGCGAAGGCAGCCAUCUGGCCUAAUACUGACGCUGAGGUACGAAAGCAUUGGGAGCAAACAGGAUUAUAUACCCUGGUAGUCCAUGCCGUAAACGAUGUCUACUAGCCGUUGGGGACUUUGAGGCUUUAGUGGCGCAGCUAACGCGAUAAGUAGACCGCUUGGGGAGUACGGUCGCAAGACUAAAACUCAAAUGAAUUGACGGGGGCCCGCACAAGCGGUGGAGCAUGUGGUNUAAUUCGAUGCAACGCGAAGAACCUUACCUGGUCUUGACAUAGUAAGAACUUUCCAGAGAUGGAUUGGUGCCUUCGGGAACUUACAUACAGGUGCUGCAUGGCUGUCGUCAGCUCGUGUCGUGAGAUGUUGGGUUAAGUCCCGCAACGAGCGCAACCCUUUUCCUUAUUUGCCAGCGGGUUAAGCCGGGAACUUUAAGGAUACUGCCAGUGACAAACUGGAGGAAGGCGGGGACGACGUCAAGUCAUCAUGGCCCUUACGACCAGGGCUACACACGUGCUACAAUGGUCGGUACAAAGGGUUGCUACCUAGCGAUAGGAUGCUAAUCUCAAAAAGCCGAUCGUAGUCCGGAUUGGAGUCUGC